rnacentral:rRNA from 1 species
AGCAGUCGCCGCGGUAAAACGAACCGUGCGAACGUUAUUCGGAAUCACUGGGCUUAAAGCGCGUGUAGGCGGAUGGGAGCGUCGGCCUCUGAAAUCCCCCGGCUCAACCGGGGAAGUGGAGCCGAAACGACCCGUCUGGAGGGACGUAGGGGGACCUGGAACUUCCGGUGGAGCGGUGAAAUGCGUUGAGAUCGGAAGGAACGCCCGUGGCGAAAGCGAGGUCCUGGACGUCUGCUGACGCUGAGACGCGAAAGCCAGGGGAGCGAACGGGAUUAGAUACCCGGGUAGUCCCUGUCUCUUAUA